GAUGAACGCUGGCGGCGUGCCUAAUACAUGCAAGUCGAGCGAACAGACGAGGAGCUUGCUCCUCUGACGUUAGCGGCGGACGGGUGAGUAACACGUGGAUAACCUACCUAUAAGACUGGGAUAACUUCGGGAAACCGGAGCUAAUACCGGAUAAUAUAUUGAACCGCAUGGUUCAAUAGUGAAAGACGGUUUUGCUGUCACUUAUAUAUGGAUCCGCGCCGCAUUAGCUAGUUGGUAAGGUAACGGCUUACCAAGGCAACGAUGCGUAGCCGACCUGAGAGGGUGAUCGGCCACACUGGAACUGAGACACGGUCCAGACUCCUACGGGAGGCAGCAGUAGGGAAUAUUCCGCAAUGGGCGAAAGCCUGACGGAGCAACGCCGCGUGAGUGAUGAAGGUCUUCGGAUCGUAAAACUCUGUUAUUAGGGAAGAACAAAUGUGUAAGUAACUAUGCACGUCUUGACGGUACCUAAUCAGAAAGCAACGGCUAACUACGUG
rnacentral:rRNA from 1 species